ensembl:miRNA
UCAUUUGUUGGCUUGAGGUUGUAAAGCUGUUUGGAUCUUCAGGGAAAUUGGCAACACUGAGAGACCACAUACAGCUUUGAAAACCUAAUUGCUGAAAUAUUCUGCC